AUCCAGCUGGCGAGUCCCGAAUAGGACGAAACAUGCGUCCUGGAU
rnacentral:hammerhead_ribozyme from 1 species